rnacentral:rRNA from 1 species
UAGGGAAUCUUCCACAAUGGACGAAAGUCUGAUGGAGCAACGCCGCGUGAGUGAUGAAGGGUUUCGGCUCGUAAAACUCUGUUGUUGGAGAAGAACAGGUGUGAGAGUAACUGUUCACAUCUUGACGGUAUCCAACCAGAAAGCCACGGCUAACUACGUGCCAGCAGCCGCGGUAAUACGUAGGUGGCAAGCGUUGUCCGGAUUUAUUGGGCGUAAAGCGAGCGCAGGCGGUUUCUUAGGUCUGAUGUGAAAGCCUUCGGCUUAACCGGAGAAGUGCAUCGGAAACCAGGAGACUUGAGUGCAGAAGAGGACAGUGGAACUCCAUGUGUAGCGGUGAAAUGCGUAGAUAUAUGGAAGAACACCAGUGGCGAAGGCGGCUGUCUGGUCUGUAACUGACGCUGAGGCUCGAAAGCAUGGGUAGCGAACAGGAUUAGAUACCCUUGGUAGUCCA